UACGGAGGAUGCAAGCGUUAUCCGGAAUGAUUGGGCGUAAAGCGUCCGCAGGUGGCUGUGUAAGUCUGCUGUUAAAGAGUGAGGCUCAACCUCAUAAAGGCAGUGGAAACUACAUGGCUAGAGUGCGUUCGGGGCAGAGGGAAUUCCUGGUGUAGCGGUGAAAUGCGUAGAGAUCAGGAAGAACACCGGUGGCGAAAGCGCUCUGCUAGGCCGCAACUGACACUGAGGGACGAAAGCUAGGGAGCGAAUGGG
rnacentral:rRNA from 1 species